AUUGAACGCUGGCGGCAUGCCUUACACAUGCAAGUCGAACGGUAACGCGGGGCAACCUGGCGACGAGUGGCGAACGGGUGAGUAAUGCAUCGGAACGUGCCCAGUAGUGGGGGAUAGCCCGGCGAAAGCCGGAUUAAUACCGCAUACGACCUACGGGUGAAAGCGGGGGACCGUAAGGCCUCGCGCUAUUGGAGCGGCCGAUGUCAGAUUAGGUAGUUGGUGGGGUAAAGGCCUACCAAGCCUUCGAUCUGUAGCUGGUCUGAGAGGACGACCAGCCACACUGGGACUGAGACACGGCCCAGACUCCUACGGGAGGCAGCAGUGGGGAAUUUUGGACAAUGGGCGCAAGCCUGAUCCAGCCAUGCCGCGUGCGGGAAGAAGGCCUCGGUUGUAA
rnacentral:rRNA from 1 species